GACGAACGCUGGCGGCGUGCCUAAUACAUGCAAGUCGUGCGGACUUAUCUUCGGAGAAGUUAGCGGCGGACGGGUGAGUAACACGUGGGCAACCUGCCUGUAAGACCGGGAUAACUCCGG
rnacentral:rRNA from 1 species